rnacentral:misc_RNA from 1 species
GAUGAAGAACGCAGCAAAAUGCGAUAAGUAAUGUGAAUUGCAGAAUUCAGUGAAUCAUCGAAUCUUUGAACGCACAUUGCGCCCGCUGGUAUUCCGGCGGGCAUGCCUGUUCGAGCGUCAUUUCAACCCUCAAGCCCCCCGGGUUUGGUGUUGGGGAUCGGCUCUGCCUCACGGCGGUGCCGCCCCCGAAAUACAUUGGCGGUCUCGCUGCAGCCUCCAUUGCGUAGUAGCUAACACCUCGCAACUGGAACGCGGCGCGGCCAUGCCGUAAAACACCAACUUCUGAAUGUUGACCUCGGAUCAGGUAGGAAUACCCGCUGAACUUAAGCAUAUCAAUAAGCGGAGGA